rnacentral:rRNA from 1 species
CCUACGGGAGGCAGCAGUAGGGAAUGUUCGUCAAUGGGCGCAAGCCUGAACGAGCGAUGCCGCGUGAGUGAAGAAGGCCUUCGGGUCGUAAAGCUCUGUUGCGGGGGAAAAAGGCAGCAUCAGGAAAUGGGUGCUGACUGAUGGUGCCCCGCCAGAAAGUCCCGGCCACCUACGUGCAAGAAGCCGCGGAAAAACGUAGGUGGCGGGCGUUAGCGGGAUUGUUUGGGCGAAAAGGGUGGGCAGGGGGUCCUGCAAGUCUGGAGUGAAACGCAUGAGCUCAACUCAUGCAUGGCUUGGGAAACUGGAGGACUGGAGAGCAGGAGAGGGCGGUGGAACUCCAUGUGUAGCGGUAAAAUGCGUAGAUAUAUGGAAGAACACCAGUGGCGAAGGCGGCCGCCUGGCCUGUUGCUGACGCUGAGGCACGAAAGCGUGGGGAGCAAAUAGGAUUAGAUACCCGAGUAGUC